UGAAGUAUCCGAGAAAAGGAAAGUAAGUACGCGUGUCAGUAUAGCCUAUCAUGCAUUUUAAAGGUUAACUAGUUUCGAGCGGAGGCCGUCAAAUCUAGGACGUCAUGGCGAACUGGAGCGGGAACUUGAAGCAGGCGUCGCCAUCCGUAUAUCGUUACUGUGUGUUUCUGUCGAAGCGUCUUGUCCAGGGUGCCACCACGUCCCAGGCUUUCGGAUUUCUUGACACGGAAGGUGGCCGCUGCUGCGGAAGCUUAUCUACAGCUGCAACUAAAGCUCGCCUAGAACUGAUGUGGAGAGGCAGAAAAGAGAUGCAACAAGGCUCAGCGAAUUCGGUGAAGUGGUUGCGGAGCAAAUCGAUUUCUACGUUCCCGUGUAUUUGGAUAGGAGCCCCCAAGCUAAAGAUUGCUCUGAACGACAAGACAGGCGCAGAACGGCAUCGCGAAGACGACCAGAACCCAGGCCAGGCAGCAGAGCGUGGGGUAGGUGCCCGCUCUCUCGGCCAGGAGCCAGAGCGCCACGGGUAGAGUGAUCAGUCCACCGAGGGGCAUGGGGAACACCAUCAUGCUCAAGGCGAGCGUGCCGCAGUCCACGGCCAGCAGGGACACAACCGAGCCUGUGGGGAUUGGCUGUGCUUUUCUGAACGCCAGCGGUGCGUGAGUUACGCGGUGUGGAUUUUGCCUCGCCUAGAGAGAUGGCGCCACGUGGCAUGGCGCCUCCCCUUCAAGCGUUCAAGCUCGACCAACUCGCCGGGAUCGCUGACCGCGUCAUUGAGGUCUCUUUGCCGCCGUUAUCGCCCACCGUCCAGGCUGUCGCCGCACCGCCGAACACCAUAGAGCUUGCGCGGCGUAUCGACGAUAUCAACCGACAGCUCAGCUCCAUUAAACGACGCCUGGAUCAACACUUCCCGACGCGCCACUCGCAAAGCCGUGGCCAGAACACUACCCCGUCGCAGCAGCCUGGUGACGACGACCGGUGUUACUACCAUAGACGCUUCGGGGACAGAGCACGGCAAUGUCGACUGCCCUGCUCCGCUAGAAAUCAGGGAAACGCCAACGGCAGCUCGUAGCCACGGCUGCGAGCUGCCAACCUGGAGGCCAUCGCAUCUUCGUCACCGACCAAAUUACAAAGCAGCGGUUCCUUGUCGACAGCGGUUCCGACAUUUGCUGCUACCCACGAGCCCACCUUCAAGGUCCCCGUCCUUCUACGUCUUUCGAGCUCAGCGCGGCAAACCGGUCCACUAUCAAAACUUACGGCUCGCUCCGCCUACACGUCCAGCUCAAAAACCUACGCCCUGACCUUCAUUGGAAUUUUGUCAUCGCCGACGUCACAGAGCCAAUCAUCGGCUCAGACUUUUUGGCGCACUACAACCUCCUUCCGGA